GUGCUCAUUUUGGCAACGCAUAUACUAAAUAUGUUGCCAAAUGUUACAGAGAAGAUAAGCAUGGCCCCGUGUGAGGGCGACACACAGGUUUGCGAAGCAGUCCAUAUUUUU
ensembl:snRNA U6 U6 spliceosomal RNA